UACGUAGGCAGCAAGCGUUGUUCGGAGUUACUGGGCGUAAAGGGUGCGUAGGCGGUUGUUUAAGUUUGGUGUGAAAUCUCCCGGCUUAACUGGGAGGGUGCGCUAUAGACUGUGGGACUAGAGUGUGGGAGAGGAAAGUGGAAUUCCUGGUGUAGCGGUGAAAUGCGUAGAUAUCAGGAGGAACACCGGUGGUGUAAACGGCUUUCUGGACCAUAACUGACGCUGAGGCACGAAAGCGUGGGUAGCAAACAGG
rnacentral:rRNA from 1 species